rnacentral:rRNA from 1 species
GGGGAAUAUUGGACAAUGGGGGAAACCCUGAUCCAGCGACGCCGCGUGGGUGAAGAAGGCCUGCGGGUUGUAAAGCCCUUUCGGUUGGGAAGAAAAGUUGCGACCUAACACGUCGCGACCUUGACGUAACCAACUAAAGAAGCACCGGCUAACUCUGUGCCAGCAGCCGCGGUAAUCCAGAGGGUGCGAGCGUUAAUCGGAAUUACUGGGCGUAAAGCGCGCGUAGGCGGCUUGGCAAGUCGGGUGUGAAAUCCCCGGGCUCAACCUGGGAACUGCAUUCGAGACUGCUUUGCUAGGGUAUGGGGGAGGGAAGUGGAAUUUCCGGUGUAGCGGUGAAAUGCGUAGAUAUCGGAAGGAACAUCAGUGGCGAAAGCGACUUCCUGGACCAAUACUGACGCUCAUGUGCGAAAGCGUGGGGAG